rnacentral:rRNA from 1 species
AUUGAACGCUGGCGGCAGGCCUAACACAUGCAAGUCGAGCGAGCGGCGGACGGGUGAGUAAUGUCUGGGAAACUGCCUGAUGGAGGGGGAUAACUACUGGAAACGGUAGCUAAUACCGCAUACGAUCAGAUGUGCCCCGAUGGGAUUAGCUAGUAGGUGGGGUAAAGGCUCACCUAGGCGACGAUCCCUAGCUGGUCUGAGAGGAUGUCCAGCAACACUGGAACUGAGACACGGUCCAGACUCCUACGGGAGGCAGCAGUGGGGAAUAUUGCACAAUGGGCGCAAGCCUGAUGCAGCCAUGCCGCGUGUGUGAAGAAGGCCUUCGGGUUGUAAAGGACUUUCAGCGGGGAGGCGUUACCCGCAGAAGAAGCACCGGCUAACUCCGUGCCAGCAGCCGCGGUAAUUC